GCGCCUGUAGCUCAGCUGGAUAGAGUACCUGGCUACGAACCAGGCGGUCGGAGGUUCGAAUCCUUCCAGGCGCG
rnacentral:tRNA from 2 species